rnacentral:rRNA from 1 species
AUGAAGAUGGCGACUUGCAUUCGUAAGGUGGCCUCGGAGGAGUUUGGAGUGUCCAGGGGAAGGAGAAGUGAAGAUAAGGAUACCUGGUGGUGGAAUGAUGAUGUCCAGAAGGCGCUUAAAGAGAAGAAAGAUUGCUUCAGACGCCUAUACCUGGAUAGGAGUGCAGACAACAUAGAGAAGUACAAGAUGGCGAAGAAGGCCGCAAAGCGAGCUGUUGGUGAAGCAAGGGGUCGGGCAUAUGAGGACCUCUACCAACGGUUAGGCACGAAGGAAGGUGAAAGGGACAUCUAUAAGAUGGCUAAGAUCCAGGAGAGGAAGAUGAGGGAUAUUGGCCAAGUCAAAUGCAUCAAGGACGGAGCAGGCCAACUCUUGGUGAAGGACGAAGAGAUUAAGCAUAGAUGGCGGGAGUACUUCGACAAGCUGUUCAAUGGGGAGAAUGAGAGUUCUACCAUUGAACUGAAUGACUCCUUUGAUGAGACCAGCAUGCGUUUUGUGCGGCGCAUCCAGGAGUCUGAGGUGAAGGAGGCUUUAAAAAGGAUGAAAGGAGGCAAGGCGAUGGGCCCUGAUUGUAUCCCCAUUGAGGUGUGGAAAGGUCUCGGGGACAUAGCGAUAGUAUGGCUAACCAAGCUUUUCAACCUCAUUUUUCGGGCAAACAAGAUGCCAGAAGAAUGGAGACGGAGUAUAUUAGUACCAAUCUUCAAGAACAAGGGGGAUGUUCAGAGUUGUACUAAUUACCGUGGAAUUAAGCUGAUGAGCCAUACAAUGAAGCUAUGGGAGAGAGUCAUUGAGCACCGCUUAAGAAGAAUGACAAGCGUGACCAAAAAUCAGUUUGGUUUCAUGCCUGGGAGGUCGACCAUGGAAGCCAUUUUCUUGGUACGACAACUUAUGGAGAGAUAUAGGGAUCAUAAGAAGGACUUGCAUAUGGUGUUCAUUGACUUGGAGAAGGCCUAUGAUAAGAUACCGCGGAAUGUCAUGUGGUGGGCCUUGGAGAAACACAAAGUCCCAGCAAAGUACAUUACCCUCAUCAAGGACAUGUACAAUAAUGUUGUGACAAGUGUUCGAACAAGUGAUGUCGACACCGAUGACUUCCCGAUUAAGAUAGGACUGCAUUAG